GGCUUAGUGGCCCAAUGGUAAGGCGCUGGUCGCGGAACCAGAGGGUCCUGGGUUCGACGCGCAUUGCUGAGGAG
rnacentral:tRNA from 1 species